GACCCAGCGAGCCCGUUAUGA
rnacentral:miRNA from 1 species